rnacentral:rRNA from 1 species
GGCGUGCCUAAUACAUGCAAGUCGAGCGAACGGACGAGAAGCUUGCUUCUCUGAUGUUAGCGGCGGACGGGUGAGUAACACGUGGAUAACCUACCUAUAAGACUGGGAUAACUUCGGGAAACCGGAGCUAAUACCGGAUAAUAUUUUGAACCGCAUGGUUCAAAAGUGAAAGACGGUCUUGCUGUCACUUAUAGAUGGAUCCGCGCUGCAUUAGCUAGUUGGUAAGGUAACGGCUUACCAAGGCAACGAUGCAUAGCCGACCUGAGAGGGUGAUCGGCCACACUGGAACUGAGACACGGUCCAGACUCCUACGGGAGGCAGCAGUAGGGAAUCUUCCGCAAUGGGCGAAAGCCUGACGGAGCAACGCCGCGUGAGUGAUGAAGGUCUUCGGAUCGUAAAACUCUGUUAUUAGGGAAGAACAUAUGUGUAAGUAACUGUGCACAUCUUGACGGUACCUAAUCAGAAAGCCACGGCUAACUACGUGCCAGCAGCCGCGGUAAUACGUAGGUGGCAAGCGUUAUCCGGAAUUAUUGGGCGUAAAGCGCGCGUAGGCGGUUUUUUAAGUCUGAUGUG